rnacentral:lncRNA from 1 species
UUCGGACCGGCUUCGGACGUCACCCCGGUUUCGGACGCCUUGGUUUUCCCCGAGUGACAUUCGCAACCCAGACAAACGCGCUGAAAAAGCCCAACAACACCUGGAACUUAAGCAGAUGCUGGAACAGGCGGGCUGGACAGUGCACUACUCCGCCGACGAGAGCCUAGCCCUGGGGGCCACGAGGGCCAUCCCCAAGAACCUGACCCCAACCCUAACCAAACACCUGGGAGUAACCCCCGCUGCAGCCCGUGCCUGUGGAGAAAAGCUACACACCCACGCUGUCAGCAGCGCAGGCGGCAUUAUCAAAAUGCGCCGGGUGGCGGAACGCGAGCUCCAACCGAGACGAGGGUAGGCACCUGCUGUCCACCCUCACACCCCUUGAUUGGUGUGAGUGCGUGGUGAGAUGGCAGCGUGAGGGGGGCGGGCCCCCUUGCCCUAGCCAUCUUGCCCCGAUAAUCCACGCCAGGCCCUACGGGCCGGCGUUUGCUUAUUAUUAUUGGUGGGAUAGCCACCCGCCUGCAGCACCAAAUCGGUGCGACCGUGGAAAGCACCCCACACAGGGCCCCCUACCAUCUUGACCGUGACGGUGUAGGUGCCCGGAAUGAUGGGCCGGGUGUCCACUGGCACGUGAACCGUGAGAACAGCCUGACCGCGCUGGAGCGGUACCGCCAGCGGCGACUUGCGCAUGAGCUCCGCUGUGAAGGCUGCUUUGCUGGCGCUGGUCGCGCGCCGGCUGAAGGCCAGCCCCGCAAACGUGCAGGAGGGGCGGCCUGUGCUGUGCAGAGAGUGGCCCUGCAAGAGCUGUGGCUGGUUGCCCUGCCGGCACAUGGUGUCCAGCACUGACAGGGCAGCACUGGUCACUUCCCGGACGCCGGCUGAGGACAGCUGCUCGCCCUCUGGGAGCCCCGUGGUGGCACCCACCAGAAGGACUGGGUAGGUAGGCAGGCUGGGGCCCUGAGGCUGCGUUGUCAGGCCGCACCUCCGGCUCCGGCCCGCCCCGCAGCCAUGCCGUGCCCGGCGCCAACACAGCAGGCGGGGGGUUCGGGGACCCAGCCGGCGGCACAGUCGCGGCUGGCGGAGUGGGAGGCGGCGUGGCAGCAUGCAGCGGCGCAGCUGACCACCACGACGGCGCAGCAUUUCCACAAUAACCCGGUGGCUCUGGACCCCUGGCUCCACCGCACCUCUGC